UGAAAACUUUCAGAUGCUUCUUCAUUGUUUUAGUCAUUUACCACUUUAAUGAAUCUGGCAACUUUAUUGUGGUGAGUGGGGAUCAAUGACAGUGUAAUGAGGCAAUUAGCAAAUUCUGAUAGUUCCAUCUACUCCAUAUGAAAGUCUCUUGAUGUUUUAUAUGGUACUCUUAUUAAUAAUCCCAGAGAGCAGGGGUUGGCAAACUAUGGCCCAUGGGCUAAAAUGGUUUUUACGUUUUAAAAGGGUUGAAAACUUUAAAAAUGGAAGGAUACAUGACAGAGACUGGAUGGCCUACAAUGCCUAACAUAUUAUGUAGCCCUUUACAGAAAAAAACUUACCAAUCCUUAUGAGACCAGACUUGCAAAAAUCACAGUAACAGAGUGAAAAACCUUCUUGAAGUGUUAGGAGGAACUUGAGUCAUAAUUUGAUGUUGAAUCAGAGAGAACAACUGUUUGGGCUUAUUUGCCUCAGAGUAUUUGCCCAGCCUCUGGUAACUAUCAUUCUAUUCUCUACCUCCAUGAGAGCAACUUUCUUAGCUCCCACAUAUGAAUGAGAACAUGCAAUAUUUGUCUUUCUGUGCCUGGCUUAUUUCAGUUAACAUCGUGACCUCCAGUUCCAUCCAUGUUGCUGCAAAUGGGAUUCAGAAUGUGUUGCUGGACUUCAAGAUAGGAAGAAUCUUUGCCUUGAUGGCUGAUGAUAGUAACCACCCCACCUACCAUCAUCUAUUAAGGAUUUACUGUGUGGUCACUUUACAGUCAUCCAAGUAAAUUUUCAUAAUCACCUGAUUACAUGGGUACCGCUUUUCAGAAAAAGAAACAGAUUUCUGGAGGGAUUCAGAAUCCAUGGCUACAAGAGGUAGUAAGGCCACUGGGAGGGCCUGCCUCUCCUCAGCCCACCCCCACCCCGUGUGGGUCUCCAUUCUGAAAUUUCCAUUCAGAUGACCCGGUCCUAGGCAGGGACCAAAAUUCCUUGUCAGCUGAGGAAGUCCUGAAGAAACACCCUGAAGAUGAUGACUGCACUGCCAUCGUGGGCAGAUGCAGCUUCCAUCUACCUGAGGGCUGAAGGGGAAAACCUUUCACACAUGUGAGGAAGGCGCAGCUCUGUGGAAAGGUCACUAGAAUGGCAGCGGCAGCAAAUAGGGCUCCAAUGCACGUUUGCACUUAACUGGGUCCAAGGAGAGCAUGGCCCUCCACAGCAAGUUUGCUCUAUAGAAUAAAGUCCUGAGCUUGUUUUUGUCACAGUUAGACAGAGAAUGGUCUCAUGUUUCUCAGUUAUCCAGGGAAGAACAGUGUAUAUUCUCUGUAGAUGAGUGUUGUCUAAUGUAGUGAUUCAUCUCUGCUAGUGUUAGGAAAGCUCCACUACUGUGUGUGUGUGUGUGUGUGUGUGUGUGUGUGUGUGUGUGUGUGUGUGUGUGUGUGUGUGUGUGUGUGUGUGUGUGUGUGCGCGCGCGCGCAUGUGCACAUACUGCAAUCUUGACUUUCCAAUUACAAAAUGCCUAAGUCAGGUCACAUUGUCUUCUUCCAGCCAGUUUCUAAGGCAGGCAAUGGAAACAGGAGCCGAUGCCAAAUGGUCUAGAGGCAGAAGGGCUGCAUGCUUUGCAGGGCCAGCCCCAAGGCUGCCUUCCAGAGCUGCACUUUCUCUGGAGACAGUAAACUCUCACCACAGCUGCCAGCCCCCUGUGCUUGGCCAUGCCCCUCACAUGGACUUGGAAUCAGUGUCUCUCUUGCUGAUGAGCACCUCCAGGAGCCUCAGUUUCGCCUUUAUGUGCUUAUAUUCACUGUAUUCUUCAGCCAUAGGAGUGCGGUCUUCCUUCUGGACAUUUCUAAUGCAAAUAAAGGAAAAAGGGGUCUGAGGAUCAUUUUCUGUCUUUGCUAGAUACUAUUCAUCGGGCAAAUUAUCAUUGUGUAGAAACUUUGCAGUUUAUCAACUUUUAGAAUCAGUGUUGCCGAGUGGCCCUUGGUCUCAAGACUGGGGCUGGAUUUAGACAAGUAAUGAAAAUGUUUCACCCAGAAGGCAACAUGCAACUGAGUUUUUAUAUAGUUAAUCUGGCAUCUGGUAUGAUAAGAAGGCUAAGAAAUGCAGAAAUUCUCUCUGCUACGUAUGAAUUCACAUUGAGCUCUCAUACACCAAAAUCCUUUAUUCAUACUUAAUGUUUUCUCAUUCUUAUAUAUUUAAUCUUGUGAAAUUUUAAAUUUUUAAUUAGCAACUAACUGGUCCACCCACAACUUAUUUUUGUUUUUCCAAAACCAGAUAGUUAAUACUCCUACUUAUCAUAAAACAGUCUUAGAAUUCAGCAGCUGGAUUACAUAAUACUAUUAUAAUAAGCCUUUACUACUGAGUAACUUUACAUACAUAAUAUUUAUAUGCACAAGUAUUUGAGAGCUUAUAGGUCAAGCCCUGUGCUAAGUACUUUGUACCCAUGAUCUGAUAGAACCCUUAUAACACCUUGAUGAGAUGGAGCCAUUUUCUACACACUACACACGAUGAAACCAGCACAGGAAAUCAGAUAACUUGCCUGCUCUUGGCCACCACGCAGUGCGCUGCUGCUUUGUGUUUUAUGGGAAAUUGCACAUGGCAAACAUUCAAACAUAGGCUUCCUGCCUUUAUUAUUAAAGGGCAAAUGUGGGUAAGGAGGGUAGCAUGGGGCUUGAUUUGUUCAAUGACCUAAAAAUAAACUGAACUUAUUCAUACCCUGCCUUGUUCUAGGAAAGUAUUCUAGUGGCUUUUCAGCAGAGGGCAGGGCAAGGAACAGGUGCUCAGGAAUCGGAGCAUCUGGCACGCAGGGCCCCACUGCACUCUGAGGGGCUUCACUCUCCUCAGACACGAAGUCAUGGAGCCAGAGCUUAUCUCCUAAGUCCCUCACAGUUCUAAACUUUGACAAUUAAGUUAACGUCCUCCAUUGACAUUUUCUUAAAACCUGGGUGGUUUGCAUAAUUCUACAUGUAUAAGAUAUCUGUGCAUAAUGUGACUUAGAAUAAUAUAAAAAAGGAUAAACCGAAAAAUAGGCUUAGAUAAAAGACUGGAAAGAUACACAUCAAAACAUUAAUUCUGACUUGUCUUUGGUUAUUAUUGUUUUGGGAAUUACUACUUAAAUUUGCUUACUUAUAUUUUCUAAAUACUGUGCAAUGGGUGGGAAAUGAAAAGCAAGUGUUUAGGUAUAAAAAUAUAUGAGACAUAUCCAAAUCAGAGAUCCUAAAAGCAAAUUCAUACAAUAAUUGUUAAACUAAACUGAAAUACAAUAUAUUUUAAAUGACAAAGUU
rnacentral:antisense_RNA from 1 species